rnacentral:rRNA from 1 species
GUAGUUUGACCGUGGCUCAGAUUGAACGCUGGCGGAAUGCUUUACACAUGCAAGUCGAACGGCAGCACGGGGCAACCCUGUGGCGAGUGGCGAACGGUGAGUAAUACAUCGGAACGUGCCCAGUCGUCGGGGGAUAACUUACGCGAAAAGCGUAAGCUAAUACCGCAUACGAUCUACGGAUGAAAGCGGGGGACCGUAAGGCCUCGCGCGAAUUGGAGCGGCCGAUGGCAGGAUUAGGGUAGUUGGUGGGGUAAAGCCUACCAAGCCUGCGAUCUGUAGCUGGUCUGAGAGGACGACCAGCCACACUGGGACUGAGACACGGCCCAGACUCCUACGGGAGGCAGCAGUGGGGAAUAUUGGACAAUGGGGGCAACCCUGAUCCAGCAAUGCCGCGUGUGUGAAGAAGGCCUUGCGGGUUGUAAAGCCACUUUUUAGUGGGGACGAAAAC